CCCUAUCUCACCCACUGAGUGGUUGAAUUUUCAAAAUUUCUUUUUUAGGGGAUGUCUAAGUCAUAAUAGCUAACU